AUUAUUUUGAUUUAUUAACAUUCAACGAGUUAGUAUUCAUUUACAGGUGGCUCUCCUCGAUACAGGAACCGGGUACGAAUAAUAUCUCAAAAGCUUGAAUUGAGCCGAUCUUAAAGUAGUUUUUUGUAAAUGGGCUCGAAGAAGUUUUGUUCUCAUCUGGGUUGUAACAUGCCAAAUGCAGCAAACUUCUGUUAUGCUCGUUACAAUGAACACACCAGGGCGAGGACAAUAUGGCUAACUGUGGGCUUUUGUGGCGGGCCUGACCAUUUACCAAGGCGCAAAUUGUCAGUUUUACUAAAUAUAGCCUCCUGCUCUUUCUUUGCAUGCCAUGACUUUGGAACUACAACUUUGGGAAUCAUUUGCCAUCACUGUUUUCUUUUUAUAUUUUUUGUUUUUAUUUUCUUUUUUUAUGUUCUGAUUUUCUUUGAAGUAUAACAUGUUAUUGUUAA